GCCUGCAUAGCUCAAUUGGCAGAGCACCGCUCUUGUAAAGCGGGGGUUAUAUGUUCGAAUCAUAUUGCAGGCA
rnacentral:tRNA from 1 species